UACAGAGGGUGCAAGCGUUGUUCGGAAUUAUUGGGCGUAAAGCGCGUGUAGGCGGCUUUGCAAGUCGGGUGUGAAAGCCCUCAGCUCAACUGAGGAAGUGCGCCCGAAACUGCAGAGCUUGAGUACCGGAGAGGAUGGCGGGAUUCCCCAAGUAGAGGUGAAAUUCGUAGAUAUGGGGAGGAACACCGGUGGCGAAGGCGGCCAUCUGGACGGAUACUGACGCUGAGACGCGAAAGCGUGGGUAGCAAACAGG
rnacentral:rRNA from 1 species